AUUACCGAGUGUGAGAUCAGGACGUAGCUUGUGCUGCGUCGUGGAUCGACCCCUCCACCCGUGUUGACUUUAUCACCUGUUGCUUUGGCAGACCGGGGCCGCGCACGCCACGUGUGUGGUGUUGGUCCCGCUGGCUACGGCUGGAGCGCGUCUGCCAGAGACGUAUAGACAACCUAACUCAAGUUUUACCUGUAGUCUGAGACAAAGAUUUAUUCAAAAUUGAUAAAACUUUCAACAACGGAUCUCUUGGCUCUGGCAUCGAUGAAGAACGCAGCGAAAUGCGAUAAGUAAUGUGAAUUGCAGAAUUUAGUGAAUCAUCGAAUCUUUGAACGCACAUUGCGCCCCUUGGCAUUCCGAGGGGCAUGCCUGUUCGAGCGUCAUAACACCCCCCUCAAGGCACCGUUUGUGUGACUUUGGUGUUGGGGCUCGCCCAUUCGGGUGGCCCUUAAAGACAGUGGCGGUGCCGGCGUGGGCUCUACGCGUAGUAACUUUUAUCUCGCGACAGAGCACUGACGGGCUGCUAGCCAAAAGCUCCAUCUUUUUAGAUUUAUCUAUCAAAGGUUGACCUCGAAUCAGGUAGGGAUACCCGCUGAAC
rnacentral:rRNA from 1 species